rnacentral:rRNA from 1 species
AUGGCCGAGCUUGGCGUCCACCAUGACCCACUUGGAUCGAAUAUUGUCGGCCCUCUUCCCGGUGCUCGAGAUCGAGUUGGCCUUGCCGGAUGCGACGAAGUUAGCGCAUCCAGAGAUGUGGCCCUCGCUGACGUGGAGGAAGAAGAAAUGGCGCAGGAGCGCCACGGACGGCAUCACGCCCUAGUACGCCUCACAGUAGUAGGCAAAGAUGGAAAGGAGGAGGACAGAGUUGGGAUGGAGGUGCAACGCUUGCAACCCAUAGUGGUCGAGGACUUCAUAAAAGAAAUCAGAGAAGGGAGGAACCAACCUGACAGCAACGCCGCUCGAAAAGAAGGGGAAGAAGGAUCCCCUCAGGCUCCGGCUUGUCGGAGGCAAGCCGGAGCUCCGUCUUCCCCCACUCGUUGCUCUCUCCCGCCGUCAGCAGGUGCACCGAGGCAAGGCUCUUCUCCAUGA